rnacentral:lncRNA from 1 species
UUCGGUCUACAAAUCUUAUAAAUAAGAUAUAUCAAAAUGACUUUGCAAGGAUAAUAAAACUACCGCUGGCUAAUGACGUUCCUUCCCGUCCUAGAGUAAGGUCUCCCGUCUACUGGUUACCUGCAUCACAAAUGAGUCAUGAGUAACUAGUUUACUCAGUGAGCCUAGUCCCCCACCCCAAUGUAUAUUAAUAAUAUCUCAAGCAAUCAACUUCAUUUGUAUGCAGUGGAAAUAUAUUCCAUAACUAAUAAAAAUACAUAUAUAAGGCAUAUCCUUCCAUCGACGUGAAUCUUAUCUUAAACAUCACCUCCACGACACCUGCCAUUCACUCAUUCUUAUAAUAUAUAUGUAGACUAAACCCGGAAAACCACAAAGGCUAACCGAGCCUAGCGUGGAAAUAAAUAUAACCACCAUCUCCAUUAGAUAUUCCAAGAUC